rnacentral:rRNA from 1 species
AACAGGAUUAGAUACCCUGGUGGUCCACGCCGUAAACGAUGUCGACUUGGAGGUUGUGCCCUUGAGGCGUGGCUUCCGGAGCUAACGCGUUAAGUCGACCGCCUGGGGAGUACGGCCGCAAGGUUAAAACUCAAAUGAAUUGACGGGGGCCCGCACAAGCGGUGGAGCAUGUGGUUUAAUUCGAUGCAACGCGAAGAACCUUACCUACUCUUGACAUCCAGAGAACUUAGCAGAGAUGCUUUGGUGCCUUCGGGAACUCUGAGUCAGGUGCUGCAUGGCUGUCGUCAGCUCGUGUUGUGAAAUGUUGGGUUAAGUCCCGCAACGAGCGCAACCCUUAUCCUUUGUUGCCAGCGGUUAGGCCGGGAACUCAAAGGAGACUGCCAGUGAUAAACUGGAGGAAGGUGGGGGUGACGUCAAGUCAUCAUGGCCCUUACGAGUAGGGCUACACACGUGCUACAAUGGCGCAUACAAAGAGAAGCGACCUCGCGAGAGCAAGCGGACCUCAUAAAGUGCGUCGUAGUCCGGAUUGGAGUCUGCAACUCGACUCCAUGAAGUCGGAAUCGCUAGUAAUCGUGGAUCAGAAUGCCACGGUGAAUACGUUCCCGGGCCUUGUACACACCGCCCGUCACACCAUGGGAGUGGGUUGCAAAAGAAGUAGGUAGCUUAACCUUCGGGAGGGCGCUUACCACUUUGUGAUUCAUGACUGGGGUGAAGUCGUAACAAGGUAACC